GCUAACCCUAUACCAGCUGGAUAGAGUACUCGGCUACGAACCGAGCGGUCGGAGGUUCGAAUCCUCCCGGAUGCACCA
rnacentral:tRNA from 1 species